GGCAGAGUUGGGGAUCAAGUGCUGCAGGUGCCAGGGAGAACCAGCAGGCCCAGGGCCCCACUGGGGAGUUGGCACGGUCAGGCCACCUGGGGUCCUGCAGCAGGCGGGUAGCUGGGCUUCAGGGACGUAACAACUUUACUCACAGGGACGAGGCUGUGCACCCUGGAGAUGCCAGUGUCCAGGGUGAUGUCCUGCUGCUUCUGGGGCAGGGGGGGCCUGACUACUCCAACUGGGCGUGACCUCUGCAGUGGACAGCCUGAGUCCAGAGCAACUGUUGCGGGAGCCACAGGGAGGACACGUCUUCAAGGUCAGUGGGGUCUCCCUGCUAGGGUCAGCUUGGCUCCCAGCCACGUCUUCUCAGCCAGGUGUAAUGCAUCUUGACCUCGGGGACUGGAGCGGGCUUGGCAGCAUCCAUGGGGACAUCUGUCCACCUGGAAAACAGCCCUCCUGAGGCCCCACAUGCCCUGCUGUGCACAGAGACGUUUACGGGAGGUUUAGGAAGCUGGUGUGGCUGGUGCUACGGGGAGAUUCAGCCGUGCCCAGGGACUCAUCUCCACCCUCUCCUCCUGCAGGUCACAGGCCUGGGGGUGAGGGGCCUCGCAUCCUGCCCCUUCGCUGGCUGAGGGACCCCACCGUCCAGCGCAGCUUAAGCCAGGCCUUGGUCCCUGGGGUCGGGCCAGGCUCAGCUCUGGCAGGGCGCUCCCUGCCUGACCACUGUGCACAGCUGACAAUAAAUGUGGCCACCUCAACAUCAUCUCUGCAGCUGCUGCCCCCCAGGGACUGCCCCACAUUCUGUCCAGGGUCAUCCAGCUUCGGCUUGUAAUGCCCUUGUGUGUUCUCCAAGGUCCCCACAAGUCACCUGCAGUCCCCAGAACAUUUGGCCGACACUGGUGUCUCUGAGGUUGGCCUCUCUGCCUCCACUUGGUGCUGGGUCACUGAGAGCUGGAACCUGAGCAUGAGCUGUAGCUGUGCUGGACGUGCACAAGUCCAUCUGCCAGGGAUCGAGCUGGACAUCAGGUUCCUUCACAGCACUGGGCACCCAGCGCCUCUACUUCCAAACAGCCCAUUUACCCCUGAAAGGCACCCGCACUCCAGCAGUGACCCUGUCCCCUGCCCAGCCCCAUCACCUGCCCACUGCCUGUGUCUGGAUGGCCUGCUGUGGAUAGGUGCUGCCCACGGAGUCCACACUAUGUGACCCUCUGUGUCAGCUUCUCUCACCAAGCCCCAGGUCUCAAGGUCCGUCCCACUUGCAGCACGUGUCAGAGCUGCAGUCCUUUUCAGGGCUGAGUAAUAUUCCAUCAUGUGGAUGGACUCAUCCUGUUCCCCAUUCCUCUUCAGUGGACACUUGGGUCACUUCUCCCUUCUGACCCUUGUGCAUGGUGCUGCUAUGAAUAUUCACACACAAGUUUUCAUUCCAGCGUCUGUUUCUGGGUCUUCAGGGACGUACCUAGUCUGCAGGUGCUGGUGGAGUGGGAACUUCCUGCGUAACCCCGAGAGGCCCCUGGGCACUGUCGCUGCACAGGGGCUCCACGCUGCCCUCCCACAUACACAUGCUAAGAGUGAU
rnacentral:lncRNA from 1 species